rnacentral:rRNA from 1 species
UACAGAGGGUGCGAGCGUUAAUCGGAAUUACUGGGCGUAAAGCGCGCGUAGGUGGCUAUGCAAGUCGAACGUGAAAUCCCCGGGCUCAACCCGGGAACUGCGUCCGAUACUGGAAGGCUUGAAUCCGGGAGAGGGAUGCGGAAUUCCAGGUGUAGCGGUGAAAUGCGUAGAUAUCUGGAGGAACACCGGUGGCGAAGGCGGCAUCCUGGACCGGUAUUGACGCUGAGGCGCGAAAGCCAGGGGAGCAAACGGG